rnacentral:rRNA from 1 species
AUACAGAGGGUGCAAGCGUUAAUCGGAAUUACUGGGCGUAAAGAGUGCGUAGGUGGCAAAGUAAGUUAAGUGUGAAAGCCCUGGGCUCAACCUGGGAACUGCACUUAAUACUGCUUAGCUAGAGUAUGGUAGAGGAAAGCGGAAUUUCCGGUGUAGCGGUGAAAUGCGUAGAUAUCGGAAGGAACACCAGUGGCGAAGGCGGCUUUCUGGACUAAUACUGACACUGAGGCACGAAAGCGUGGGGAGCAAACAGGAUUAGAAACCCCAGUAGUCC